GAAAGUACUUCAAGUCAGUUUUUCUUAUGUUUUCACCUUUUUUUUUAGAUUUUCCCUACAUCUUUUCAGUUGUUCUGAUUGACAGAUUGCCAGAUUUCCUGACAAUUUGUUGAAAAAAAAAAAAAAAAUGAUUCCGUAUUGCCCGACAGAAAGUUGGUCCAUUCGAAACCCUAAUUCCCUCACUUUCUCGCUUCGAAUUCCCCUAAAAGCUCCCGCAUUGCAGUCAAUUUCUCUGAAAAUUGAGACGCUUAGACUUGCAUGUUGUACUCCUAAGCUACUGGUGAACUAUGGAUAUCCGCUUGGGAAAGACCCUUUUAUCAGGCCGGAGUAACACUGGUGUUUAUCAUUAUGCAAGUUUUAAUUCAAAUAAAAGACAUGAACUGUUUUAAUGCAUGGGAGUUAGGGUCGAUGAUCGCAUUUGGCACUCCAGACUUGGUCAUCCAUCAUCAUUUAUUUUAAAGCAUUUAGUUUCCAGUAGUAAAGUGCCUCUUACUAGGCACCAUUUCAAUUCUAUAUGUCAUUCAUACCCUUUGGGCAAAAGUAAGAAAUUGCCAUUUUUACCAUCAAAUUCCAUUUCUCAUUUUCCUUUACAACUUAUUCAUUUUGAUGUAUGGACGUCACCAACUCUGUCAAUUUCUGGUUUUCGAUAUUAUGUGAUUUUUAUUUA